GAACUGGUCUCGCUGGUCCCUCCUUUCUGAAGAACUGUAAUGUCAUUAAUUUGGUGUUGCAGGGAAACAGGACUGUUACUUUGAAAAAAUUAGAGUGUUUAAAGCAGGCUAACGCUUGAAUACAUUAGCAUGGAAUAAUGAAAUAGGACGUUCAAACCUAUUUUGUUGGUUUCUAGGAUUGACGUAAUGAUUAAUAGGGAUAGUUGGGGGCAUUAGUAUUCAAUUGUCAGAGGUGAAAUUCUUGGAUUUAUUGAAGACUAACUACUGCGAAAGCAUUUGCCAAGGAUGUUUUCAUUAAUCAAGAACGAAAGUUAGGGGAUCGAAGACGAUCAGAUACCGUCGUAGUCUUAACCAUAAACUAUGCCGACUAGGGAUCGGAUGAUGUUAAUUUUUUAAUGACUCAUUCGGCGCCUUACG
rnacentral:rRNA from 1 species